UUUACAUGAAAUAAAUUCGAAUACAAAAAUAUUUUUCUGUUCUAUAACACAAAAUAGAUAAGUAUACGAAGUUUGAAAGUCUUUCCAUACCAAAAACACUACGUAAAACAUUAAUGAAAAAUGUGGCUCCCGUUUUAAAAUAGAUCUGCGGGUGCUAUUUACGUGCCACUGGCACGAGGGCCAGUCAGGUGGUACUGGCAACGGCCACGCUCAAAGUAUAUAUGAACAUAUGCAAAUAUAUGCAUGAGAAGACAUACAUAAAACAAAACAUAUAAAUCUGCAUGUAUACAUACAAAAAUACCCUGUUGUUGAUGUUGAAAUUCCAAUGAAGGAGCCUUGGAUUUAGGGGAGAAACUGUCUCUUUCUCUAUUGGUAAGAAAUCUUGAAACAAAACUGAAUAACAACAUACGUAUAUAUUAAUACCAACAUUUAAUAUUUGAUCAUGUAUCUGCUUCGAACACUUUCUUACAAACCUACUUCUAUGUUAAAGGGUUUUGAGAAAUAAUAAAAUCAAGAAAAUUGAUAAACGAACAUUCAAAAACCUUACCAAUUUAAAAAAACUAGAUCUGAGUAAAAAUGAAAUCAAGGAGAUAGAAGAUCGCACUUUUAAAAACCCGACCAACUUAGAGCAAUUAAAUUUGAGAAAUAAUGGAAUCCAGAAAAUUGAUGUCCAAACCUUCCAAGAUCUUACCAAUUUAAAAGAAUUGUAAGUCAAAUCACUCUUGUUAAUGCUAUUUCAUUGACGAUGUACGUUUGUAUUUCUAAAUAUUAAAAGUCUUCUUUCUCUUAUCACUCUCUUUGUUUCUAUGU